rnacentral:rRNA from 1 species
AGGACGAACGCUGGCGGCGUGCCUAACGCAUGCAAGUCGAACGCGCUCCAUUCGGUAGCAAUACUGAUGAAGAGUGAGUGGCGAACGGGUGAGUAACACAUGAGCAACCUGCCCCGAAGACUGGGACAACACCGGGAAACCGGUGCUAAUACCGGAUAUCCCUAUCGGACCGCAUGAUCUGAUAAGGAAAUGGAUUCCGCUUCGGGAGGGGCUCGUGGCCUAUCAGCUAGUUGGUGAGGUAACGGCUCACCAAGGCAUCGACGGGUAGCUGGUCUGAGAGGACGAUCAGCCACACUGGGACUGAGACACGGCCCAGACUCCUACGGGAGGCAGCAGUGGGGAAUCUUGCGCAAUGGGCGAAAGCCUGACGCAGCAACGCCGCGUGGAGGACGAAGGCUUUCUGAGUUGUAAACUCCUUUCAGCAGGGACGAUAGUGACGGUACCUGCAGAAGAGCACCGGCAACUACGUGCCAGCAGCCGG